rnacentral:rRNA from 1 species
AUUGAAGGAGCUUGCUCCUGAUUGAUAAACAUUUGAGUGAGUGGCGGACGGGUGAGUAACACGUGGGUAACCCUGCCCUAAAGUGGGGGAUAACAUUUGGAAACAGAUGCUAAUACCGCAUAAAACCUAACACCGCAUGGUGUAGGGUUGAAAGAUGGUUUCGGCUAUCACUUUAGGAUGGACCCGCGGUGCAUUAGUUAGUUGGUGAGGUAAAGGCUCACCAAGACCGUGAUGCAUAGCCGACCUGAGAGGGUAAUCGGCCACACUGGGACUGAGACACGGCCCAGACUCCUACGGGAGGCAGCAGUAGGGAAUCUUCCACAAUGGACGAAAGUCUGAUGGAGCAACGCCGCGUGAGUGAAGAAGGUUUUCGGAUCGUAAAACUCUGUUGUUGGAGAAGAAUGUAUCUGAUAGUAACUGAUCAGGUAGUGACGGUAUCCAACCAGAAAGCCACGGCUAACUACGUG